UGACUAUACAAAGGUAUUGUAAUAAGAUUUUAAUUGAAUGCUAAAAGAAUGGAAAUUUAAAAAAAAACUUUUUUAAAAAUAAAAAUUGAAUUUUUUUUAAUUUGUGCAAAAACAAUUAUACUUAUUAAAGACAAGAAGACCCUAAGAAUUUAAGAUUUUACAAUUAAAAAGUUUUUUUUUUUAAAUCUUGAUUGGGGCGAUCAAAAAAUAUUAAUAACUUUUUAAAAUUUAAAUUGAUCUAUUAUUAAUAAACUAAUGAAUUAAAUACUCUAGGGAUAACAGCGUAAUAAUUUUUGAUAGAUCUUAUUGACAAAAUAGUUUGCGACCUCGAUGUUGGAUUAGGAUUCUUUUUUAAUGAAAAAGUUAAAAAAAGAAGUUUGUUCAACUUUUAAAUUCCUACUUGAUCUGA
rnacentral:rRNA from 1 species